AUCCGAAUACUCAUACUAACGUACUAAUCAGUAGGCGAGACGCAGUACGUCACAGUAGUAGUACGUCCGAAUGCUUAGUAGGCAUCAACUAGUAGGCGAAAAGUACCCGGAUGGCCUACUACCUCCACAGUAUACAACGGUUGGUCACUACGCUAUCCCACAAAUCACCGGGGGUCAAAUAACCGUAGAAGAAGACAAGCCGCCGGGAAAAUCAAAGGUGACGGGCCGACAGCGACAACUUCAACCGAUGUUUAUAAAUGCAACACUGAUCAGCUACCUGCACCCCUUUGGAUGAAGAAGGCUGCAUUUGCGAACCAAUUCUUGUGACAAGACAAGAGAGCAGAGUUAUUAAUACUUUUGGUUUACCACAUCCACAACAUGGCCAACUGGAGCACCCACAAGGAUCUCGUGAAGGAAGUCCACAAGCCCUUUUGCUUCAGUUUGGAUACAACCCCCGGCUGGUAUUGCUGCUGAAACAGGUGGAGACAACAAUGAAGAAGAGGCACCAGAAAGGAAGACCAGUGGCCAAGAGUGUGUGUGUGUGCGCGCACGUGCGUGUGUGCGUGCGUUUAUGUCAGCAUGUGUGUAACUGGGUUGGUCAUGGUACAAAAAUACAGAAUUUAAAGCACCCACACCACACUUGAAUCACAAGCCACAACUACUGACAAUGGAAUGGCUGGGUUUCCCAGAUUCGUUAGGAAGCUCUUCAGUGCUAAGAACUUCUUAGGAGCGCUCAAAGAACGCUCCUAAGAAGUUCUUAACACUUAAAAGCUUCUUUUAAAAGCUUCUUAAAAUAUUUAUGUAACACUACCUAUG